AGAAUAAAAUAAUACAGGAUAGGAUAGGAGAGGACAGAGGAGGAUAGGGUAGGAUAAGAUAGAAUAAGAAACAAUAAAUAAGAAUAGAAUAAUGAUGGAAUAGGAUAGGAUAGGACAGGACAGAACACGAUGGUGUAGGAUGAGAUAGAAUAAGAAAAAAUGGAAUAGAAUAAUGAUGGGAUAGGUUAGGAUAGGGUAGGAUAGACAGAAUAAAAUAAUACAGGAUAGGAUAGGAGAGGACAGAGGAGGAUAGGGUAGGAUAAGAUAGAAUAAGAAACAAUAAAUAAGAAUAGAAUAAUGAUGGAAUAGGAUAGGAUAGGACAGGACAGAACACGAUGGUGUAGGAUGAGAUAGAAUAAGAAAAAAUGGAAUAGAAUAAUGAUGGGAUAGGUUAGGAUAGGAUACGAUAGACAGAAUAAAAUAAUACAGGAUAGGAUAGGAGAGGACAGAGGAGGAUAGGGUAGGAUAAGAUAGAAUAAGAAACAAUAGAAUAGAAAAAUGGUGGGAUGGGAUAAGCCAGGAUAGGAUGAGACAGAAUAGAAUAAAAUAGGACAGGAUAGGCUAGAACAGAGUAAGAUACAGUAAUAUAAAAUAGAACGGGAAAGGAGAGGAUAACCAUCAGGACAAAACCCGCAGGGAUUUCUAACUUAAUUUGGGCGGGAACCUUGAGAUUUCACACAGUUAUAUUUUUUGUCUGAGAAUCGUUUGUCUUUUCUUUCACUUGUGUCUUUCUGGAUGCAGGCGAACUUGUGACUUGUGAUAAAAGCACCUGUUUGGUCUUUGUCCUGUUUCUGUCCUAAAAUCCUUGGAAUUUCCAGUCAGGA